GUCUAUGGUCAUACUACCCUGAACAUGCCCAAUGUCAUCUGAUCUCAGAAGCUAAGCAGGGUCGGCCUGGUUAGUACUUGGAUGGGAGAAUGCUAGGACAUUUGUCU
rnacentral:rRNA from 1 species